UCUUAUCAAGAAAGACGGAGGGAACGGGCCCUUUGAUGUCUUGGCAACCUGGGUAAUACUUGGUGCCAACUCCCGCUUGGAUUCCAAGGUAGAUAAG
rnacentral:ncRNA from 1 species